UCUGACGGAGCAACGCCGCGUGAGUGAUGAAGGUUUUCGGAUCGUAAAGCUCUGUUGUUAGGGAAGAACAAGUGCGAGAGUAACUGCUCGCACCUUGACGGUACCUAACCAGAAAGCCACGGCUAACUACGUGCCAGCAGCCGCGGUAAUACGUAGGUGGCAAGCGUUGUCCGGAAUUAUUGGGCGUAAAGGGCUCGCAGGCGGUUUCUUAAGUCUGAUGUGAAAGCCCCCGGCUCAACCGGGGAGGGUCAUUGGAAACUGGGAAACUUGAGUGCAGAAGAGGAGAGUGGAAUUCCACGUGUAGCGGUGAAAUGCGUAGAGAUGUGGAGGAACACCAGUGGCGAAGGCGACUCUCUGGUCUGUAACUGACGCUGAGGAGCGAAAGCGUGGGGAGCGAACAGGAUUAGAUACCCUGGUAGUCCACGCCGUAAACGAUGAGUGCUAAGUGUUAGGGGGUUUCCGCCCCUUAGUGCUGCAGCUAACGCAUUAAGCACUCC
rnacentral:rRNA from 1 species